CUCAAUCCAUUUCGAUGCUAAUAAAACUGACAUGCUAGGUGUCGAAUCUUCUUUAUGGUGAAUUAUACAACAUGGAACUUGGGGUGUUCCAAUUAUAUAGAAAUCCUUACUGCUCAUUAACUAGGAUAUCAACAACUUAUUUCCCUCGAAAUCAGUAUCCAGAAAAAGAAGACAGUCAUACACUGAAAAUCCCUUCAUCAAGUCAUCAAAGACAAUAAUACACGGUAACCAAUGAACAAAACCUCCAAAGGAGCCAACUUCGAUAAAGAGAAACACGUCGAGAUGAACAAGCUCCCUAAACGACCGGAAUCGAGCAUGGAUAAUAACAAGACACCCUUGUCCGAAUAAUAAAUCUCUAGCCAACAACAUUACCUACUGACAAAAGGAUGACGAUGGGCGUGACUGGCGUGCCCGUUGCUCGUUCCGAUCGUGAGAGAUGGAGACGUCAACUUUUGUACGAUUCGUCGCGGACCGAUGUCGAGGAUCGAGGACCCGGAGUGGCGUGCAACGAACAUUUAGGAUUCACGCUCGAGCUGUCGAACAGUGCCUACGUCGACGAGCUGGCUAUAUACGACGAGUCGACGACGAUUUG